AUGGGUCCCGGUGUGGGUUUGCGGCACGGUUGCGCCCCUCAUCGUGUGACUUGGCGGAUCACGUCUCCUCCUGGGACCAUUUCUCUUCCAAGCUGUGGCUUCAGGGCAGUGCUGUGGCUACUGCACAGCCAGAAGGCGUCUCCUCCUCCUCCUCGAAAGAUCCUUUCCAUCUUCACAGCAGUGCAGCUCUGUCUGCGUGGCCGGCUCCAGUUUAAAGGGAGAAAGAAUCGAGUCCCCUUGCUGUGGAAGCAGUGGCCCUUUUUUUUUUUGUCAUCGGAAGAAGGAAGAUUUUCCUGCUCCAAUCUAAUGUCAAAAUUCCUCUCGGCCGUCUAUUUUCCUGGUGGCAAGGACCUGACUGGCUUGUACGGCAAUCACUGGGUUCAAGCUGAGAUGAAGUCCGAAGAAGUCUUGCUUGAUGGACCACGUGGCUUACAGAGAAAAAGUCUGUUUGUAAGAGAGCUUUCGCUGGCCCUGCUCAGACCCUGGUCGUCCCCAGCGGCUGGGGAUUAAAAAGCAAGAGAUAGCCCUGCCUGCUUGUCCUUGUUUACCUGUGCUCCAGACCGAAGUCACCGGGACCGCAAAGUGCCAAGCAUUCAGAUCAAAAUGCCUUCCUUUUCCCCUCCUGGCUAAAGGACAUUUACACAAAGAGCUGGGACCACGAGCUGUUUGGAUGGUUUGCCCUCUCCCACCCCCUCCCCACCAAAUCCUCGUCCUACGCUUUUACGGGAAGUAGCUUAGAGCAGAGCUCACAGGCCUCCGGCUCCAAAUCUAAACCUUGAAAAGGAUACAUGUUUUGUUUACGCAACCAUGGCAGAGCAUUCAGAACAGGUCUGGAGGCCACACUGGCAGGAGCCGCAAGGACAGGCUGCAGCCAUCAGUAAGAGGCAGCCUCUCCCCGCCUCCUGGCCCCGGCAGGGCGGCCUGCCUAUUAUUUUUCCCGCAGGGAUCGGCAGCAGGACAGGAGAAGGAAGCCUCGCUGUGUCCGAGGGCGGACGAGACCGGAGGAAGCAGACAGCCUGGUUCUUGUGUUCGAAGCUUUUGGAGAACAAAGACCCUGCCUGCUUAUUGAUGUGUCUCCGUAAUUGUCCCCUAUUCUGGCAAACAGGAUUACUCGCUCCCUGUCCCAUGGAGACGACCACGUAAAUCGGUGGAGAAAGAGACUGAAAUUGUUGGGACAUUUUUCCAUCCCCUUUGGGGCUGAGACGGGGUUUCCUAACUGCAGCUUUGCUGACAUUUUGAACGAGAUGAGUCUUUGUUGUUGGGGGGCUGUCCUGUGCACUGUUGGAUGUUUAUCUCUCUCCCUGACUCUACCCACCAUACACCAAUAGCUGCCCCCUUCCCAAGCUGUUACAACCAAAAAUACCUCCAAAUAUUGCCAAAUGCCCCCUGGGCAGGGGGUACAAAACCUCCUGGGAGCUGAAAACCACUGGCCUAUGUGGAAACAUGGGAGUAAAGACAUUUCUUUUCUUUUCUUUUGGUGAGGAAGAUUGGCCCUAAGCUAACAUCUGUUGCCAAUCUUCCUCUUUCUGCUGAGGAAGAUUGUUGUUGAGCUAACAUCUAUGCCAGUCUUCCUCUGUUUUGUAUGUGGGACACUGCCACAGCAUGGCUUGGUGAGCCAUGUGUAGGUCCGUGCUUGGGAUCCGAACCUGCGAACCCUGGGCUGCCAAAGCAGCGAGCGCAAACUUAACCACUACACCACGGGGCUGGCACCAAGACAUUUCUCAUUAGAGCCACCAUAGUUUUUUCUUAGAAAAAUAGGAGAAGGGGACAAAUUCCUGGACCUCACACAGUAAAUCACUGGGUGAUGAGAGAGAAGAAAGGUGUUUGCAAAUGCUUCUUGGGCCAUCCACCCUGUCUUCUGAGUGCCAGAUGUUGCCCAAGUUGGAAAUAAAACACAUUUAUUUAGUUGGGAAAAUACA
rnacentral:lncRNA from 1 species